rnacentral:rRNA from 1 species
UACAGAGGUCUCGAGCGUUAGGCGGAAUCACUGGGCUUAAAGCGUGUGUAGGUGGAUGCCUAAGUACCUUGUGAAAUCCCACGGCUUAACCGUGGAACUGCUUGGUAUACUGGGUGUCUUGAGUCACUCAGGGGCGAGCGGAACAAAUGGUGGAGCGGUGAAAUGCGUAGAUAUCACUUGGAACGCCAAUGGUGAAAACAGCUCGCUGGGGGUGCACUGACACUGAGACACGAAAGCCAGGGGAGCGAACGGG